AUUUUGGGAGGCAGGCAACGGAGAGGGUCCGUCUGCUGAGUCUCCCCUCCGCCAGCUGCCCACAGGUCCCCGGAUCUCUCGCAGAGGUGCUGGGAAGGGGGUCCACCUCCGGGAGGGCUCACAGGUCCCGCGCGUCCUCCCGCUUAACCCCGGCCUCAGCGACUUUGAGCUUCUUAUUCUGGUGAGUCUCACUCUGUUGCCCAGGCUGGAGUGCAGUGGCCAACAAGAUGUGCCAGUUCUGGUAAAUUUCCUAGCAAGCUUGAAGGAAGUGAAGGACAACUGCAAGGAAGGGCAGGAUGGAGCAUGCAGCCCACGUAUUCCCCAGCUUGGUGGGGCAGAAUGCGUUCUUGGCUCCUGAGGAAUGGGCAGGCAACGCACAGGGGUCCUGGGAAGAAAGGGAGAGAAUAUCCUGGGAGAGCCAUAGACCCUGGCACCCUCCUGUGGUCCUUCAUCAGGAUAAAUUUCUAAAAGAAGAAUUACUGGCCAAAGGAUUCCUCUUCAGUUGGAAACAGCAGCAAAGUUCACAGGUCGUGAGUGGAUGUAAAGUGGACGGAACAGGUUGUUGCCAGUCUAUUGGAGUAGGAUGGUAGAUGAGCAGUCCCGUUGGCUAACAGCUUGUUGGAAUUUAAAUACGACCAAUCAAAAUGUGUUUAGGCUUCAAAGGAAAAAGUUCUCCAUAAAUACACCAGAAUUUCAUUCUAACAUGAUUCAUUCAUUCAAAGAGCACAGCUGCACAAGGGGAAGACAGCUGCCACAUGGUAACGCAGUCCUGUAAAGAGUCCCAUGUGGUGAGAGACGUGGUUGGGAGUGAGCUUGGAAGUGGAUCCCCAACCCUCGUCCCCAAACUGAGACUUCACAUGAGACUGCAGCUCUGGCCAACAGCUUCACUGUAACCUCACAACAGACCUUGAGCCACAAGCACCCAGCUAAGCUGCAGGGAGACCCCCUGAAACUAUUGCUACGGAAUAAAAGAUGAAAUGCUCCUGAUUAUUGUAAAUACAAAGUUGCAUGCAGGAUUGUUUGUAACCAGCUUUUGUUGCAAUUGUUACUGCUGAUUAAUAUCUUGCUAAUCAUAGGUUAUGGAAAGAUUGUGCUUCUGUUUUAAGGCUCUGUUAGAAAUUACUGACGCACACACUAUAUUGUAAAUUCUUAUCUCUCUAUGCUGUACUUCUACAUACAAAUGUACUGUACUUCUACAUACAAAUGUACUGUACUUCUACAUACAAAUGUUAUGUUAAUUACUUCAUCCCCAUGUGACCAUCUCACCUCAUAAUCAAAUGACCCUAAAUCCCUCACUAACCAACCCCCACCCUCACUUAACUUAAUAAUAAACGCUGGUAUAUCCAGAGCAUUGUUGGCACCAUGGGACCAGAAGGCGGUGACCCCCCUGGACCCAGCUUUCACU
rnacentral:lncRNA from 1 species